rnacentral:rRNA from 1 species
ACGCGAGGAACCUUACCAGGUCUUGACAUCCUUCGCUACUUCUAGAGAUAGAAGGUUCCCCUUCGGGGGACGAAGUGACAGGUGGUGCAUGGUUGUCGUCAGCUCGUGUCGUGAGAUGUUGGGUUAAGUCCCGCAACGAGCGCAACCCUUGAUCUUAGUUGCCAGCAUUCAGUUGGGCACUCUAAGGUGACUGCCGGUGGCAAACCGGAGGAAGGUGGGGAUGACGUCAAAUCAUCAUGCCCCUUAUGACCUGGGCUACACACGUGCUACAAUGGAUGGUACAAAGGGCAGCAAAGCGGUGACGCCUAGCAAAUCCCAUAAAACCAUUCUCAGUUCGGAUUGUAGGCUGCAACUCGCCUACAUGAAGCUGGAAUCGCUAGUAAUCGCGGAUCAGCAUGCCGCGGUGAAUACGUUCCCGGGCCUUGCACACACCGCCCGU